rnacentral:misc_RNA from 1 species
CAGUAGUCUUCUGCCCUCACGGGUAGAAAACUCCACCCUUGCGAAAUGUAUGCUUGUUGCUUUGGCGGGCCGUCCGGCUUAGGAUCCUAAGUUGGCUUGUGCCUGCCAGAGGACCCAAAACUCUUGUGUUAGUGAUGUCUGAGUACUAUAUAAUAGUUA